CAGUGGAGAGGAGGCGAGCAAGAUACAGGAGGCUGGGCUGUGAGGCAGAGGAAGUAUCUCUUAUCCUCUGUCUUCUGUGGCAUGAAGCCCUAAGACCUAAUGGCUUCCUGGAGUUUACUUAGCCCUUGGAGACACAGAAACUCUGCAGAGGCACCUCCAUUUGACUGCAUAUUUUUGCCAUUACUUGAUGACCUAUUUGCAUGCAGCUUCUUGCAAAGAAUUUCCUUCCAAGCCAUAUACGGUGAUUUUAUUGCACCACAAACUGAGGCUUCUAUUUGCAGUCAAUGAUAGAUGCUCCGUCUGACUUCUUUCUGCCUGUCCCUACAUCCCUUCCUUUUUUCUGUAGGCUGCCUAGGCUGCUCUGAGCCCUCUCCGAGCUCUGGUUUCACCAAGAGUGUUUGAUUCCAGGAACUUACAAGCUUCAUCUGAAGGGAAGGUCCUUAAUCUGAGCUGAGAUUUUCUAUCCAUCGGCCCAGGAAACAGUGACCUCUGAGGCCAAGGGAAGGAAAAAGAGACUUCAAGCAGGUGAGCGGACACAGGGGGCAGCAACCAAGGUCUCCAUGCCCCUCACCUUUCUGUGCCUUUGUUCAUGUAGUUCCCUUGCCUGGAGUGUACACCCUGGACUGGGGACAAUGUAUCAAGGGAUCCAUUACUGGAAAUCUUCAGCAGGCACCAACGUCUCUUGGCAGCCCCUGGCCACCUUGACGGCUUGGAUCAACCUCUACGAAUCCCUAGUGAAGUUGCUGAGUGCAGGUUUUCUGACUCUGCCUUGCUGGGGACAAAGGAGGGAGAUCUAGAGGGAAGUCUGAGCUCUUAUUUGCAUAGCAAGUCAUCAGGUGGCCAGCAUCCCAGAGACUAAGGUUUUUUACUCCUCAAGCCCCAAACACAGGGACUCGAGUACCUUGAACACCUUGAACAAAGCUUCCACGGACUUUGGAGACAAAUCACUCUAGGCUCUCCUCAGGAACAGUGUGGUCUUCUCAGUCUCAGCAUCAGAGUGCAAAUACCAGCCAGUCACUGAGCCCUGCUUUAUGCCAGGCUGCUAGCCAAGUUCUGCAGAGACAAACACUCCAAACGCUCAAAAAUGGUCUUGGUGAGAAAGUGCCUAAGCAAAACAUGACCUUCCUGUCUAACUCAGAGAGCUGGCAUGCACACUAGUGUCAUGAGCAGAGGAAGAGGAAGAGGAAUCUGAGGAGGAGGAAAUUAGACAUGAGACGUACAUGCUAGGCACCAGCCCGGGCUCAGGCGUAUCAGAGCAAAUCCUGAGCUGUGAUGCUCACCGACAAUCUGGCACUACUAUUUUGAUUUUCAUUUGUUUCCAUUCUAGGAAAUUCAUUACAGACUGUCUCCCCACAGAGCAUGCUCAAUUAUAUCCUUGGGAAUGCAAGAGCCCAGAAGAAGCAAUCGGGGAUGGCUGAGUCAGGCUUAGUCAAGGUUAAGGUUGCUUCUGCCAGUUCUGGAGGCCUUGGGACUUAUUCCCAGGGGAUGGGUGAUCCAGGAGUAGGACAGGAACACGAGGACCAAGUAGAAGUGUCUCUCUCCUGGGACCAUAUGGUGGAUUCUGAAGCAGAAAGCAUGAGAAGAAACUGAGAACUGAGGUCUGAUUUGAGAUAUGACACUACUUCCAGAAAAAAGUAAGAACCAGUUGGCCCCAAAUCCCACUGAUGAAAAAAAGGAUUGGAGAAUUGCUAUUAGCUGUCCCACCUAACUAAAGGGAGACCCAAAGCAUUCCUAGCAGGCCUUGCUGCCCUGGCUACAGGACUUUCGAUGGUGGACGCAAAUUUCAAGUCUGGCUUCUAAGAAGUGUGUGAUAUGUUUGAGGAUAAGGGAGACCUAACAUAUUCUAAAACAACAAGGCAACUUCAGGAAGCUUUGUGAACAGGGUCUCCAGGAGUGCCCUCCGCCUCCUACCCACAGAGAGGUGGCUUUGCUGGUCAGCUGGCUGCUGUCUUGUAGUUGUCCUAGUGAAGAUGGUUUGUGUGUAUGAGGGGAGGUGUUCAUGGGUACUUGUAGAGUGUCUGUAAAAGAAGGUUGGACUUUUUCACCACAAUGCAUUCCUGGAAACCAUGUCAUGAUAUAAUUCGUCAAAAUUUCCCAGAGGAACAGCAUUCGCUCUCCUUGAGGGGUCGAGUUCCUGACUAAAGACACAGCCAGAGAUAAAUCAUAACUAUGAUCAACAAUCUUUCAUGAGCAGAAGGCACAAGUGCCCACAUAUCUUCAAUGAGUUCUAGGGCUCAGAUUAUACUCCAGGUCUCACCAAGAAGCUAUCACUUAACUUCAUGUGAAGCUGUAUGUACCACGGUCAUUCAUUCUCUCAUUUAUUCAUUCGAGGGCUGUAGGAGUCAUUGUGGUUCACUCCCAACCACAAUUCUUCUUCAGAUGAUUAGUCUUCUAAAUCAAUGUUAUAGAUGUAGUUUCCUAAAAGAUAUGUUGACACCCUAAACCCUACCACCUCAGAAUGUGAUCUUAUUUGGAAAUAGGGUCUUUAAAGAGAUUAUCAAGCUAAAAUGAGGUUAUUAAGGUAGGCCUAAUCCAAUUUAAGUGGUGUUCUUACAAAAAAGGGAAAUUUGGACAGACAGACAUGCACCGAGGGAAGCUGACAUGAAGACACAGAGACAAGGCCAUGUGAAGAUGGAGGAUUGCAGAGAGAUCCAUCCUCAGGCCAAGGAAUGGCAAGGAUUUGGAGCGAACCACCAGAAGCUAGGAAGAGACAAAGAAGGAUCCCCCUAUGGGUUUCAAAGGAAGCAUAGCCCUGUCAACACCUUGAUUUUGAACUUCCAGCCUUUAUAAUUGUGAGAAAACUAAUUUCUGUGGCUUUAAGCUACCUACUAAGUGGUAUUCCGUUUUGGCAGUCCCAGGAAACUAAUAUAACUGACCGUGGUGAUCUCACUCUCUUAUCCCAGUCCUGGCAAAGAAGCUAUAGGGGAAAGACUGCUAGGCUGGAUUCUGAGAAAGGUUUCUACUUUUCCCUCUACAAAUGCUUUGAUGUGACCCUGGGGAUUGCUGCAGUCAUCAUGCUAUGAGCCUAAAGGGCAAAGCCCUCAUCGAGGAGGGCAGAGAGUGAAGGGAAAGGGCCUGAGACAGAUGACCCUGAGUUGCUGUUUCGGCCAAGCUGGAGCGUGCCCAGGCCCUUCAUGUUCUGUCAUGUGAGAUGAAAUGUUUCCAUGUGGGGUAAGGCAGAAGGUGAAGAAAGGUCUCCUUGCCGACAUCAGGGUCCUUCUUUGUGUGGGUUGACUGUCAUUUGUGCUCAGCAGUUCUCCCUGCUACCUCUCUCAUGCUAAUUGGGCCUCCGGUUCCCUCCCAACCUCUAUUCUGCAUCUCAGUAUCGACUGUGGUAGAUGGUUUGCAAAGACAGCUGUAAUAAUUCCUCCCUGUAUACUUUGUAGUGUGACUUUGCCACUCUUCCCAUCAAAGGUGGAGCUUAUUUCUCUAUCCCUUGAAUCUAGGCUUGGCCUUGUGACCUGUCCUGGCCAACAGGAAUUAGCAAUCCCUAGCAUUCUGACUCCACAGCUCCAGAAGCUUCAGGAAUUAGGCUUGCUCUUUUGGCUGUAGUUGGACUGAGACCGUGAUACAAAUGGGCCUGAGCUAGCCUGCUGCAAAGGCUGCAUGGAGAAGAAAAGCACUCCAGUUGACAGUCAGCACUAACUACCAAGUGUGUAAAUAAAGCUAUCUUGGAUCAUCCAA